rnacentral:rRNA from 1 species
CUUCGGCCCGAGUUGUAAUUUGCAGAGGAUGUUUAUGGUGCGGUACUUUCCGAGUUCCCUGGAACGGGACGCCACAGAGGGUGAGAGCCCCGUCUGGAUGGAUACCAAACCUGUGUUAAACUCCUUCAACGAGUCGAGUAGUUUGGGAAUGCUGCUCUAAAUGGGAGGUAAAUCUCUUCUAAAGCUAAAUAUAGGCCAGAGACCGAUAGCGCACAAGUAGAGUGAUCGAAAGAUGAAAAGCACCUUGAAAAGGGGGUUAAACAGUACGUGAAAUUGUUGAAAGGGAAGCGUUUAUGACCAGACUUGUGUCGUGUGGCUCAUCCGAGGUUCUCCCCGGUGCACUCCACACGGCUCAGGCCAACAUCGGUUUUUGUCGGAGGAUAAGAAUAGUAGGAACGUAGCUCUUCCUCGGAAGAGUGUUAUAGCCUAUUAUACGA